rnacentral:rRNA from 1 species
GACGGAGGGUGCUAGCGUUGUUCGGAAUGACUGGGCGUAAAGGGCGCGUAGGCGGCUCGUGAAGUCGGGUGUGAAAGCCCGGGGCUCAACCUCGGGUCUGCAGUCGAUACGAGCAAACUAGAGUGUUGCAGGGGAGACUGGAAUUCCUGGUGUAGCGGUGAAAUGCGCAGAUAUCAGGAGGAACACCGGUGGCGAAGGCGGGUCUCUGGGCCGAUACUGACGCUGAGGAGCGAAAGCGUGGGGAGCGAACAGG